AUGUGGAAACAAAGACACCUACAUCUUGGAUGCCCUUGAGGGGCAUCAGGUAAAUCACUCCUUAUGCCACUAUUAAAGUUCCUUCCUACUCCACAACUAACAACAAGUCAGAAUCAACACAGGUGUGGUACAAAUAUGCAGGGAUGGUGGAGUGAUGUGUGUGACAGGUGUCGGAGGGAUCCGUCAAUACCUGCGGCUUUGACGAGAAGCACCCAUCUGUGUGUGUGCACGAGGCUGUUCUUGAGGACAGAGUU